UGCCAGACUCCUACGGGAGGCAGCAGUGAGGAAUAUUGGUCAAUGGCCGAGAGUCUGAACCAGCCAAGUAGCGUGAGGGAAGACGGCCCUACGGGUUGUAAACCUCUUUUGUCGGGGAGCAAAGCGAACCACGUGUGGUUCAUUGAGAGUACCCGAAGAAAAAGCAUCGGCUAACUCCGUGCCAGCAGCCGCGGUAAUACGGAGGAUGCGAGCGUUAUCCGGAUUUAUUGGGUUUAAAGGGUGCGCAGGCGGUCUGUUAAGUCAGCGGUAAAAUUGGGGGGCUCAACCUCUGCGAGCCGUUGAAACUGGUUUUCUUGAGUGAGUGAGAAGUAUGCGGAAUGCGUGGUGUAGCGGUGAAAUGCAUAGAUAUCACGCAGAACUCCGAUUGCGAAGGCAGCAUACCGGCGCUCAACUGACGCUCAGGCACGAAAGUGUGGGUAUCGAACAGGAUUAGAUACCCUCGUAA
rnacentral:rRNA from 1 species